rnacentral:rRNA from 1 species
CCGGCACGGUGAGUAACACGUAUGCAAUCCACCUGUAACAGGGGAGUAACCCGGAGAAAUCCGACUAAUACCCACUAAUAUGGGCGCUCCGCAUGGAGAGCCCAUUAAAGAGAGCAAUUUUGGUUACAGACGAGCAUGCGCUCCAUUAGCCAGUUGGCGGGGUAACGGCCCACCAAAGCGACGAUGGAUAGGGGUUCUGAGAGGAAGGUCCCCCACAUUGGAACUGAGACACGGUCCAA